CGCUUAUUUUGCGAAGGCGGAGUUCGACCGCCAGUGAUGCCACUGCUGGAUAAGCUGCGUAAGCUGUACGGGGUCGGACCGGUAUGCAGUGAACUACAUAUUGCCCCG
rfam:Shigella boydii Sb227, complete genome.